GCAGAUGGGAUAUACUUAUUUUCCUGUCAUCCCAGGAGUUUUCUUCCCACCCGCCCCCCAGCCACAUCCCUAAACCUUUUGCAAACUUGGCCCUCAAACGCAAGACUAUAUGCACAGAAGAGAUUUUCCUACGUCUCCACACAGAUCCAAGUAGGCCUAGGCCAAGUCCUGCACAAUGAACCAGAUUCACUAAUUCUCUGGGGCCCAAAUGACAUGCCGGAGAAAAUUGUGUUUCACUGUGUUGUGCCCACUUAAAGACAGCCCAAAUGAAAUCAACGUGCUAAUUUUGCAAAACAAGGUGUGAAUCACAGCUGCUUCUAGCAUCUCCCACAUGUCAAAGAUCUCUGUAUAAGUAGCAGCACGUAUACUUACACAAGUGGCUACUUUGGAGAAAAGAAGGAAGAGAAAGGCAAAAUGACAAGCUAAGGAUGGCUGAAAUUUCAAGCUCCAGUAACAAAGCUCACCAUGGACAGAAAUGGGCAACAGGAUGGUCUUUUUCUUUUGGAGGGGAGCAUCCAGGAGGAGGAAAUAAGUUUGAUUUUACAUAUAUAGUGCUUGAGAUGACAGUAGUACAUAUACCCAGGUAGAAAUAGCUAGAAGUAAAUGUAUGACAAAGAAUCUCAUAAUAUGUCAGAAUUAGAGAUGUGGAUGUAUAUGGAAGUCAUCUUCAUGUAGAUAGUAGUUGGAAGUCAUAAAUAUGGAUGAAAUCAAAAAGAAAAUUUAAAUGUAGGAGAAAAUAAGAUUAAGGGCAGAAAUUUGGGAGAAGGAAAUGAAGGCAGUAAAUAUUAUAAAAGGAUUAACCAAAUAAUUAAGAGAACUAGAAGGAUAAGAUCAUAAAUCUAGAGUGGAAAAGGACCCAGACAUUAUCUAGCACAGUGUCUGGCACAUAAUUAGCAUUUAAUACAUGCUUGUUGAUUGACUUGCCCAAGGACACAUUAGAGACGGGAUUUAAACCCAGGCCUGACUCCAGAGCCAGUAUUUUUUCCACUGUACCAUGUUAGAUACAGCAGCAAAGUCAAAGGAAAGAGAGACUUUCAAGACACAACAUUUACUUAGUGGUACAAAAUGCCUCUCUGCUAGCCACAUCCAAAAAGACUCUUUUGAAUACACAUAACCUAUAUGAGCAAAACACAUGACACAUGUCCCUUACACAAGUAUUAUCUCAUUCUAUCUUCACAACAACCCUGAGAGCUAGAUGGUGUUAUUAUAUUCAUUUUACAGAUGAAGAAACUGAGGCACACAGAGUUUAAGUAACUUACUCAGGGUCACACAGCUAGCAAGUUAGGAAGUAUAUGAAGUAGAAUUUUAACUUAGGUUUUCCAGACUCCAGGUCCAUAGAACUAUCUAGCUGCCAAAUACAAUACCUAUAUUUGUACAUAAUAUCUUCCUCAAUAGAAUGUGAGCUCCUUGAGGGCAGGUACAAUUUCAUUUUUGUCUUUGUGUCCUCAGU